UCCUCCAUAGCUCAAUGGUUAGAUCGUCCAACCGGCACCUGGUAGGUCAUGGAUUCGAUUUCCGUUGGAGAGCUCAGAA
rnacentral:tRNA from 1 species